rnacentral:lncRNA from 1 species
CAGAAACAACAAGGGCUUACAUGGUUCCUUUAGAGGGUGCUGACGGAACAAAAGCCAAAGCAGUAGCAGUCUGCCACACAGAUACAUCAGCAUGGAACCCUAAGCAUUUGGCUUUUCAAGUCCUAAAAGUUGAGCCAGGAACCAUUCCUGUCUGCCAUUUCCUUCCUCGGGAUCACAUUGUUUGGGUCCCUAAGUAAAAGUCCUGAAGAGUAGAUUCAUACACUAUAGUUUCUUCACAGUGUGCAUUAAAACAGCUUAAAGCAAUAUCCAGUUUGUUCUAUAAUAAUAUACCCACAAGUUUAGUCAUGUAAAAUCUAUCCAUGAAUCAUGUUCUUAGUAAUGGAUAAAAUGAUAUUACUUUCUGUAUCACAAGGGUUUGGUGAUAAAUGUAUUAGUAUUUUAAGUAACUUUUCAGACAUCGUAUUCCAAGUAACUUUGCGGACAUUAUGUUUCUCCAUUAGAUUACUAAUUCUCUUUCAUCACAGAUUAGCCAUCUCCACAGGAAAAUUCUCUGAAGGUAAACUAUCAUGUUCAUCACUCGAUUGCAAUCCGAGAAGAAAUUGUUUUUCCUAUGUCCCAAUAGCAGAAAAAUUUUGGACCAAUUUACAUGAUACAUAUGAGAAUUUUCUAAACAGAGUGUCAUGUCAUGUAUCUCGAAGGAUGCUAACUUAAUAUAGUAAGACCAGCAUUAAAAUCUUUUCAGAUAUGAGUAGGUUCCAAAGUACUCAAAUUUGAGCACCUGUACGGAACAAACCAUUGUGUGCACUGUGCAGCUCUUCGUGUCUGAUUCCUCCACCACUGUGAUGAGCAGCUGCAGCAUCCUCAGUGGCUAACCUCAGGCCCUUGAAAGACUUAUUCAACAGAUUAUGGUGAUAAGUCAAAUAAUUAUAAAUGAUGUCGGCUCCACGGAUCCUUUUAUUCCUGCAAUGCGGAUAAAUGCCCAAGAAUGUUUUAUAAUUAGAAAUGCCUGGAGAAACAAACAAAACCUAUUGGUUAGUUGUGUAAUAUAAUUAUAUACGUGUAUAUGUAUAUAUAGAAACAUGAUUCAUGAGGUUGCUUUAAUCAUUUUCUUCCCCAAUAAUCUGAGUUUUACUGCUCUCUAAUGAUUAUUACUAUCCAAUAAAGAAAAAUGACUUCUUAAACCAAUGUUGGUUUGCCAAAAAAAUAAUCCAACAACAAUAUUUGUUUUCUGAUCACCAAAUUGCAGUGCUGAAAUUUUUUUUAAACGAGUGGAUGACACAAAUCUCCACCAAAGCAAAUGGUUAUGAAACAAAUGGGGUCUUAAUGAAGUGGGGGCAAGGGGUGUUGUUCCAAUAGGGUCGGAAGCGUGUAAAUUAUUGUACUAAAAAAUCACACAAAGUUCAAUUCUCAGGGAAGAGAGGUGGAUCACAUGGAUCUCUUAAAUACCAAGUCUUUCCUUAGACAGAAUAUCCCUUCUAUAGUAAUUUAAUAGCACAAUUAAAUACUACUAUUAUACCCUCAAAUAUUGAAAGAAAAAUAGGACAAGAAAGAACACAAGAGUUUUAACGAGGUUCGGUAAAUUAUACCUACGUCCUCGGGCACUAACACCAGAUGAUAACUUUACUAACUUCAAAGUAUUACAAACAAAUAGAAUUCCUUAAGAAUUCUCAAAUGGGAGAAAAAGAAAACUAAGAGAGAAAGAUUGGUUGGGAUGAAUUGAAAUGAGAAAUGAGAAGGCCUAUUUAUAGUUGAGGUUCAAGGACCAAACAAUAAAUAGCCCAUUAUCUCAAGGACCAAAAAAAAAUUAUCCUUGCCACUUUUCCAAAGUUGGUGGUUGUCAUUAUUGAUUGUCUCCCAUUAAUGUUAAUGGCAACCAUUAUUAAUUGUCUUCCAUUAAUGUUAACAAUCUCCACCUUGAAGAUUUGAUUAGGAUAAUCACAUCUUCACACACUUCCUUCAACUCCCCAAAUUCGAUAAAGCUAUCUUUUGUAGUGCCUACAAAUGCGCUCUCGAGCGCCAUACACCUGAAGGUGCUCAAAUUCUCAGUAUGUUAAUCAAGUUCAAACAAUGAUUAAACUUGAUUGUUGUUACCACCUUGGUCAUCAUAUCUGCGGGAUUAUCUGCUGUCGGAAUCUUCUGAAGUAGAAUUUUUCCUUUUUCAAAGACUUCCCGCACAAAGUGAUAUCUUACGUCGAUAUGCUUGGUUCUUGAAUGAUAGACUUGAUUUUUCGCUAAAUGAAUAGCGCUCUGACUGUCACAAUAUAAACUUAUGUGACUUUGAACAACUCCUAAGUCUUUCAACAAUCCAUUAAGCCAAAUAGCCUCCUUAACAGCUUCUGUAACUGCCAUAUAUUCUGCCUUUGUAGUAGACACAGCUACUGUAGACUGUAAGGUAGACUUCCAACUCACUAGGGCUUUCGCAAGAGUAAACAGAUACCCCGUAGUUGAACGACGUUUAUCUAAAUCACCAGCAAAGUCGGAAUCAACAUAUCCAACUACAAACUGACCAAGUGCUUCAUCCUGUUCAAAAAUUAAACCAACAUCUACGAUUUUUCGAAGAUACCGUAGAAUCCAUUUCACAGCUUGCCAAUGUCCUUUUUCAGGAUCAUGCAUAUACCUGCUCACAACUCCAACAGCUUGUGAAAUGUCAGGCCUCGUACACACCAUCGCAUACAUCAAACUCCCAACUGCAUUAGCAUAUGGGACUUUCGCCAUAUAUUCUCUUUCAUCUUUAGUCUUCGGAGAUAAUUGAGCACUAAGUUUCAAAUGAGAAGCAAGUGGGGUACUUACAUGUUUUGUGUUUUCAUUUACACCAAAACAUUGUAAUACCUUUUUCAGAUAUUGCUUCUGAUUUAAACAGAGCUUGCCUCUCGGUCUAUCUCUACUUAUCUCCAUGCCGAGAAUCUUCUUGGCCUCACCUAGAUCUUUCAUCUCGAACUCUUGAUUCAACUGAGCCUUCAGCUUAUCUAUCUCAUUUUGGCUCUUCGAAGCGAUUAACAUAUCAUCAACAUACAAGAGUAGAUAAAUGAAAGAUCCGUCAUGCAGCUUCUGCAAAUAUACACAAUUGUCAUAUUUGCUUCUUGUGUACUUUUGCCUUCUCAUAAAGCUAUCAAAUCGCUUGUACCACUGCCUCGGGGAUUGCUUCAAUCCAUAUAGCGAUUUGUUAAGCUUACAAACCCAAUUUCUACCACCAGCAUCUGUGUAUCCUUCUGUCUGAGUCAUAUAGAUCUCCUCUUCUAACUCACCAUGCAAGAAAGCCGUCUUAACAUUGAGCUAGCUCCAAAUUCAACUGUGCUACCAAGGCCAACAAAAUUCUAAUGGAGGAAUGCUUCACAACAGGGGAAAAUACAUCAUUGUAGUCAAUUCCCUCCUUCUGAGCGUAGCCUUUAGCUACCAAUCUUGCCUUGUAGCGAAUAUCCUUCUUGCUAGGAGAUCCAUCUUUCUUUGCGAAUACCCACUUGCAUCCGAUUGCCCUUUUACCUUUCGGUAAUUGCGCCAACUCCCAAGUAUUGUUCUUCCGGAGAGACUGCAUUUCUUCAUCCAUGGCGCUUUUCCAUUUAUCACUUUCUAAGCUUUGCAUUGCUUCUUGAUAAGUGAUAGGAAUAUCAUCAACAACGAGAAGGGCGUAGGCCACCAUAUCAGUAAAUCGAGUAGGUUUACGAAUUUCUCUCCGUGGCCUUGCAACUGCAACUGGUUCUGGUGUACUUAGUGGUUCUUGGGUCAGAACCUCUUCAACCUCUAAUUCCUCCAUUGUGGCUGGAGAAUUAGACUUAUUGACUGGGCAAAUCCCCAUCUGCUCAAACUCCACCUGUUUUGGAGUACACUCCACCUGCUGUGGAGUAUUGCUCGUCUGAAUAUCUUUAUCUGCUACCUUUUUCAAUGUGGCAGAUUCAUCAAAGGUAACAUCUCUGCUACAAAUCAUUUUCUUUGUGCUUAAGCACCAAAGACGAAAUCCCUUCACUCCAGAAGUGAUUCCUAUAAAGAGAGCUUUCUUUGCCCUCGGAUCUAAUUUUGACUCCUUUACAUGGUAAUAUGUAGUGGUUCCAAACACAUGUAAGGAAUCAUAAUCUGUAGCCGGUUUUCCAGACCAUACCUCCAUAGGAGUUUUUCUUUCUAAUGCAGAUGAUGGCAAACGAUUAACAAGAUGGCCAGCGUAUGUCACAGCCUCAGCCCAAAAUUGCUUGCCCAACCCAGCAUUGGACAACAUACAUCGAACUUUCUCCAGCAAUGUUCGAUUCAUACACUCUGCCAAUCCAUUCUACUGUGGUGUAUCCCUAACUGUGAAGUGUCGAACAAUACCAUACUCUUGGCACACAUCGAAGAACGGAUCACUUUUAUAUUCCCCUCCAUUGUCCAUCCUAAGCCGCUUGAUUUUCUUGCCAGUCUGGUUUUCGAUCAUAGUUUUCCAUUUAAGAAAAACUCUAAGCACUUCAUCCUUAGUUCUCAUGGUAUACACCCAAACUCUUCUGGAAAAGUCAUCAACAAAAGUAACAAAGUAGUGUUUUCCUCCCAAUGAACGUGUCUUGGAAGGCGCCCACACAUCUGAGUGAACAUAUUCCAAAAUACCUUUUGUAUUAUGGAUAACAGUACCGAAUUUCACUCUCUUUUGCUUUCCCAGAACACAAUGCUCGCAAAAUUUUAAUUUGCAAGCCUUUGCACCUUUCAACAAUCCUUGCUUUGCCAGAAUUUGCAAGGAUUUUUCGCUGGCAUGUCCCAACUUCAUAUGCCACAACUGUAUUGAGUCCAAUUCUUUGUUGCCGGAAGCUGCAGCGACUGCUCCAAUAACUGUACUACCUUGGUAGUAAUACAAGUUAUUUUUCCUGAUGCCCUUCAAUAUCACAAGUGCGCCAGAUGUCACUUUCAAAACCCCAUCUCUCAUAGUAACAACUGAACCAUUGGAUUCCAAGGCUCCCAAUGAGAUGAGAUUUUUCUUCAAACUGGGCACGUACCGAACAUCAGUCAGAACUCUGGUUGAUCCAUCUUUAUUCUUUAAUUGGAUUGAACCUAUCCCAACAGUUUUACAGGCAUUGUCAUUGCCCAUAUAAACAACUCCUCCAUUUAGUUCUACUAAAUCAGAGAACCACUCCCGGUUAGGGGACAUAUGAUAGGUACAACCCGAAUCCAAUAUCCACUCAUCUGAAUGGAACGACGAUGAUGAUGCAACCAGUGAUAGUUCAGAGUCACUAGUAUCAUGCUUAGCAACACAAGCAUCUAUAGCAGCUUUUCCCUUAUUCUUCAGCUUUGGACAAUUUUUAUUCCAGUGGCCUUUCUCAUGAUAAAAAGCACAUUCAUCUUUCCCAAGUCUGGACUUUGACUUUGAUCUCCCCUUUUGAGUUUUCUUCCGAGUGUAUGAACGACCUCGGACUACUAAAGCUUCUGUAUCUCUGAUUGAGUUUUUCUGUUUGUCCUUCUUUCUCUGUUCAUAACUGUAUAAGGCCGCACAGACUUCGCUCAGAGAUAUAUCACUCCUGCCAUGAAGUUGAGUAGUUUCUAGGAACUCAAACUCCUCAGGAAGUGACCCCAACAGCAUCAAAGCCAAAUCUUCAUCUUUGAAUGUCUCAUCCAUAUUCAACAAAUCAGUGACUAACUGAUUAAAUUUGGUGAUGUGAUCAUUCAUUGUGGUACUUGGGACGUAUGUGAAGCGAAAUAGUCUUUUCUUCAAGUGGAGCUUAUUUUGACUGUUUUUCUUCAAAAAAAAUUUUUCAAGUGCCACCCACAACUUAUUUGCAGAAGUCUCCUUUGAAAAAGCAUACCUCUGCUCUCGAGAAAGGCAUGAUCGAAUUGUGCCACAUGCCAACCGAUUGAUUGCCUUCCAAUCUUUCUCCUAUACAUCAUCUGGUUUCUCUUCAUCAAUGGCAAUGUCUAGACCCUGCUGAAAAAGGGCAUCUAGAACAUCACUUUGCCACAUACCAAAAUGGCCCGUACCAUCAAAGAUCUCCACGGCCAAUCUUGCAUUUGCAAUUGUCGGUCUUGUCCACAUGGACGAUGUUGAAGCUCCUACACUGACCGUUUUCUCCAUAAUCUUUCAAUAUACCUAAGGAAAUCUUUUCUGAUGUGGAAGAUCAGUUUAAACUGCAACCACAGAGCAUACUACGAUUAACCUUCGGCUCUUGAUACCACUUGUUGUUCCAAUAGGGUCGGAAGCGUGUAAAUUAUUGUACUAAAAAAUCACACAAAGUUCAAUUCCCAGGGAAGAGAGGUGGAUCACAUGGAUCUCUUAAAUACCAAGUCUUUCCUUAGACAGAAUAUCCCUUCUAUAGUAAUUUAAUAGCACAAUUAAAUACUACUAUUAUACCCUCAAAUAUUGAAAGAAAAAUAGGACAAGAAAGAACACAAGAGUUUUAACGAGGUUCGGUAAAUUAUACCUACGUCCUCGGGCACUAACACCAGAUGAUAACUUUACUAACUUCAAAGUAUUACAAACAAAUAGAAUUCCUUAAGAAUUCUCAAAUGGGAGAAAAAGAAAACUAAGAGAGAAAGAUUGGUUGGGAUGAAUUGAAAUGAGAAAUGAGAAGGCCUAUUUAUAGUUGAGGUUCAAGGACCAAACAAUAAAUAGCCCAUUAUCUCAAGGACCAAAAAAAAAUUAUCCUUGCCACUUUUCCAAAGUUGGUGGUUGUCAUUAUUGAUUGUCUCCCAUUAAUGUUAAUGGCAACCAUUAUUAAUUGUCUUCCAUUAAUGUUAACAAGGGGUGUCUUCAGAUGCAUAUGAAUUUGGUUUACAGGCGAGAUAGAUCACAAAUAUUAUAUUGAUAAAAAAAAUUGAUAUCGUUCGUGGAAAAUCAUUAGUGGAAUGAAGGAGUUAAAGUUCACAUGUUAUUCAUAGAAUGAAUUGAAAGAGUUGAGAGUUUUGAGAGAGAAUUUCAGAAAAAUAAUAAGUGGGAUGUGCAUGUUUUUCUAGAUUAUUUGAAGGCAUGUACGUAAUUAUGCACAACUUAUGGAAUAUAAGUGUUUUAUAUGUAUAAUAUAUUUAUUAAGUUACGAUGAAUCCUUUCACACGUUACUUUUAAAGUUAUGUAAAGUCUUAUUUUUAUAAGUAGUUUUAAGUUAAUAUUAAUGUGAUUGGACGAGACCCACAUAUUGAACAUAUAAAAAAAGUAUCGAUAAUCAUGUAAAAUAAAAUGUAAUCUUCAAAGUAAGUGAAUUUUUUUAAUCAAAAUGGAUUGACUUGACGAAAUUUUUUAAAACGAAAUAAAUAAAUAUCAUCUUACAUAUAUUUAUAUAUGUGUGCAAUAUACAUAAAUGUACCCUUAGCCCACCAAAACUUUCUUUCGCAAAUUUUAGACGGCGAACCAAAACCAAGGUACCUAACCACGUCCUACAAACCAGAUGUUCGUAUAGGUUAGAUGCAGGAUUAAGAAGCCACAACCUAUAAGGCUAAAACUUGCCACAUGCCCAUAUGACAUCUUACUUUCAAAAAAAAGAAAAAACAUGACAUUCAACUCAAAUCCUAUACAAAUACCUUUAUUUGUAAGAAGAAAUUUUCUCAUUUAUUGACUAUAAUUAUUAGAUUUUACAAGUAAAAUUUACAAAGUGGCACAGAUAUUUAGUCCAAUGAUAAAUCCGCUUUAUAGAUGAAAAGUAUAAAAAAUUAUAUAUUUUUCUUUUAAAUGAAAGCUAAAUUAAAAAAAAAACAAUUAUAUGGCUGAUUGUUUUUAUUGUAUUUUAAAAAAAGUUAAGUGAGUAGGUUUUUUACCCUGUGAUUCCCAAAAAAAAUGUUGUCAUCGAGGAUUGUUACCUAUACACAGAUAAAUUCAAGGAAAACUAUUUCAUGCAAGCUAAUCAUAUUUAAAAGCAAGCAAAGGGUCGUAAACAUUGUAGAUUGGAGCAUUUCAUGAAACAUAGUUACAAGCUAGAGUAUCAUCCCAUGACCCAUAGCAGUCUUCUAUAUUAUUGGGUUUUUGCAAACUUGGGCUUGAAUACACAAAUAGAAUAUAAUCACAGAAAACUUUGUUUUUUGUGUAUUGAAUUUGGGUUUAUGCUUCAUUUUAUUAUCGACAAUGAUAUCAGAACCUAUUUUAAAUCCAACAUCAUGACGAUUUGAUUUUUAUUUGUUUAAUAAUAUUUUGUCCCCUAACUAAUUGGCAAUUGAAAACUUCUACCCUUUGUAUGCAUGAUUAGUUUAGAAAUUUUGUGCAUAAUUAUCAAGCAACGUCGUGAUUACAAUUCUUGAACUCGAUUCCAUGAUAAGGAGUUCAAAUUUUAAAGUCGACCAAAGCAAGUUAGUAUCUUUCACUCUUUUAACAUAUAUUUCCAACUUCAUAUAUAAACAUUUAUUUAUACUCAUGGUUUAGAAACAGGGCUGAAAAAACUCUCUUGAAAGCAGAUACCAUUGGCGGCAGCCAUGGGUUUAUGUGAAGAAGAAAAGAUGCCUCUAUCUCUAUGAGUAGAAUUAUUGCAGUGGGUCACACCUUCGCUUUCAUUUACUUCAACUUCUCAGGUAAUAUUCCAACAUUACAGCGUUGAAUUGUUUGCAAAUUUAUUUACCUCAUAUUCCCACUUUCUUUGAUCUCUCCUUGUCCCAACCACGUUGGAUUUUGAACCAUUUGGUCUUAUAUUACAUAACAUACAAAUGAAAAGAAAAGAAAAACAUUUGCGAUUCCGACCAUAAAUAAAUAAUGUUCUGUUCUGUAACGAGAAACAGCCAAAGCUUCCAGCACUUACAAUAAUAAUAAAAGUAAUGAGGGUAAAGGCUUCAAAGUUUUUUUUUUUUUUGUUUUUUUUUAAAUAAAGGAUAAGGAGUAAGGAUUAUCUUAUGAUCCAACUUAGCAUUAGUGUUUAAUUGAAAAUUUAAAUACAAUAACUUCAAGAUAGAGUACAGUGUCCGUGUGGUGUUUGUUUUUCUACCUUCCCUGCAGGAUCCGAAACUUCCAAUUCAAGUUUCUUGCUAUAGAUAAGGUGUUUCGUAAGAAAACGUAAGUCUUAAAAGAGUUACAAGACAGCACCAGUUAUAUGGCCCUUGCUAGAUUCAUAGUUACUUUCCCAUGUACCGACUCUAAAGUGAAUGACUUUUUUUUUUCUUUGCAUAGCACUUUUUUUUUCCCCGAAAAGGAUAGGUAUCAAAAUGAUAUAUGUAUUUUAGGGCCAACACUCAGAACCACUUUUUGACCACUCAUAGUUUAGUUAAAAUCAAAUUUCGUUCUGUCUUUUGACACACUAUUUUCUCUGUCUAUUGAAAUGCUCUUCUGCUGUUGUUAGCACGCUUUCGUCUCUUGUUUUGCUUGUUGUUUAUUUUCUUUGAUUUAGUCAUUAUUGUAGUUAAGAACAUUGAUGAUUCUAUAGCAGACCUGUCACUGGAGUAUGAUGAAGAUGAAACCAUUCAAUUAGGGGCCGAAUCUUCAGAGAGUGAAACCUUGUAUGCUAAUUGUUUUGUAGGAAUGUUUCUUACCUCCAGUGUAGUUAAUUUCCAAGCGAUGAGAUUGACUUUGGCUAAUUUUUGGCAUCCAAUAGAGGGAGUCUCAAUCUCGAAUCUAGGCAAUGAAAGAUUCUUAUUCAAAUUUUAUUUUGAAGUUGACGUGGACAAAGUUGAAAAAAAUGGGUCAUGGAAUUUCAACUCUCAUCUAUUGGUGCUACAUCGGUUAAAGGAAGAGGAAGACCCUUUAUCUGUUCAAUUAAAUUGGGUAGACUUUUGGAUGCUUAUCCAUGAUCUUCCCCUUGGUUUCAUGUCUGAAGCGGUUGCUAGACAGUUGGAUAGUUUUAUUGGUGUUUUCCUUGAAUAUGAUGCAUCAACGACUCAGUUGGGUUAUAAAAGAAUAAUGAUGUUAAAUGUGCGAAUUGAUGUUAGAAAACCAUUGAAAAAGAAGAAGAAACUCACCUCUCGAAUGGUGAGUGGAUUUAUGUUCGAUUUGAAUAUGAAAAACUCAUUUUAUUUUGUUUCCUUUGUGGUAAACUAAGGCAUGGUAAAACUUUUUACCCGAUCAGAGCUCACAAUCCGCUACAAGAGUAUGUUUUCCGUUGGGAUAUAUCUUUACGUGCUCAGUUAAGGAAAAAUUUGGCUUGGAAGAGUAGAUGGUUGGUGGAGGAUGACGAUUGUGGUACUUUAAUUUAUGGAAACUAUAACACCCCUAACCCUUAUCCGUCGCCGGAACAGGGUUACAAAACAUUACCAGACUUUACAGAUUAAAUAUGAACAUUUCACAACUUUUAUUAUACAUGUUAAGAAUCAGUUAUAAAACACUCAUGUUGUCCCUUAGAUGGACCCUCAAGGCACAAUAUACACUUUAGAAAUGAAUUGGGACUAAACCGGAUACUUAGAGAAUUUUUCCUAAAAUCUCAAAAAAAUUUCUUAAAAGUAGGGGACACACGUCUGUGUGGCUCACACAGCCAGGAGACACACCCGUGUCUUAAGCCGUGUAGGCAUUCGAUGUGAGGCACACAACCGUGUCUCAGCCCGUGCCCUUACCCGUGUAACUCUCUGACUUGGGUCACACGGCCAUCCACAUGCCCGUAUGCUAGGCCGUGUGCAAGAUGUAAAGGUCACACAGCCAAGCCACACACCCGUGUGCUAAGCCGUGUGUAAAAACUUGAGCAUUCUGUUUUAAAAUUUUAAGGUGCAGGGGACACACGGCCAGACCAUACGCCCAUGUGUCAGGCCGUGUGGACGAAAAUAGACCAUUUUCAAUACAUCAAAUAGCCCCAAUCAAACAAUCAACACAAGCCAAAAAUCAUGUUUUAAACAUAAUAUAUCAUCACAAAACUCAAUUGCCAAAACUUACCAAAAUAACUCCGUUCAUUGAUUUACCAAAAUCUACUACUAAAUAUAUGCAUACUAACACAUAUAUAUGUCAUUCACAACCAUACUUCAAAUUUAGCUCUUUUCUAACUCGGCCCUAUACAUGUCAUAUAAACCAUAAAAUGUAUAACAAAAUCUACUGGAGCAAACUAGAUAGUGUGGCUCUAUGUGUUGAUCCGAUGCUUUAAACUUCUUAAAAAUCUAAAAAGAACAUUAAACGACACAGUAAGUUUAAUGAAGCUUAGCAAGUUCGCUGGCUUUAAAUAUAAAUCUUACCGAACAUACUAUAAUAAUUUAUUUAGGUAAAUUAUUUCACAAACAUUUCCUGCCAAUCACAACUUCAAUUAAUGAAUUCACUCAUUUGAGCUCAAUAUCAAUAAUAACUUAAAUUCUUCCACAUUAAUUCCAUUUGGCACUUACCAAUCAUUAUCAAACCAGAGAACGUCUUACGGAUUUGAGUACAUCGUAAAUAGAAAUCCAUAAGGGUUCAUCUAAAGCUCAAAAGAGUUAAACGGAAACCCAUUAGGGUUAAAUUGAAGCUCAAAAGAGCUAAACUGAAAUCCAGAAGCGUUAAUUUGAAACUCAUGAGUUUACUGAAGCUCGUGAGAGCUAAACGGAAAGCAAAUACGAGAGUUCGCAACAAAUGUUGAACAUCGGUUUACUUGGGUAAUUUUACCGUCAAUUCCUAUUUUGCACUAAACGACUAUACUCAAUCCUACGUUCCAUUCACUUCAAACACUUGAUGCAAUUUCAUAAAUUUAACAAUAAUUUUAUUUUCAACAAAUGUUACGAAUAAAUACAAAAAAUCAUUCAUCAAUUAACAUAUCACAUUAAAUUUUAACCAUUAGAACUUACCUGGGUUAAAUUGUGGAAAUUGUAAUGGUUCAGAGAUUAUUUGGCUAUUUUCCCAUUUUUCGCGUUGGUCUAAGGGCUCUUGAUCUAAAAUAUAAAAUUAUUAAUUCAUUAGCACAUGCUUCAAUUCUAAUUCACUUCACAAUUUAUACCACUCAAUUUUUGAAAUUAUACAAUUACCUCAACUUUUACAGUUUUUGUAAUUUAGUCCAUCGCCAAUUAACUCAUCAAAUAAGCUAAUUUUUCUCAAGUAACACUUUAUCUAAAUAUUUUAAACUAUUACACAGCCUUUGAUAAACAUAAUUUAAUACUAAACCCUAAGAUUUAAUUUUUUUACAAUUUGGUCCUAAAAUCAAUUUCCCUUGAAAGCACUUGAUAAAAUCAUCAUAUAACAAAAUUAAAACUUCAAAUCCAUGUUAAUUCAUCAUAAAAAUGCAGCACUCAUCAAUGGUAGCUUUCAAGAUUACUCAUAAAAUCAAAAACUAAUGAAUUAGAUAGUUAGACCUAAUUACAGAAGUCUUAAAAACACAAAUUUUAAGAAAAGAGCAAGAAUUGAACUCACAUGUAGCAAAAUAUGAAAUCCAACUUCUUAAGGGUUCUUCAAUGGUGUUUUUAGCUGAUAAAUUGAAGAAGAAUAACUUAGAAAAGUUGAGAAUUCAAUUUAUUUAAGUUUAUUUCACAAAAUUUACAAUUUUGCCCUUUAAUCACAUGAUUUUUGUUUUCUUUUCUGCUUAUGCCGCCUCAGGCCUUUGUUUUAGGCAUAAUUGCUCCUUAAGUCCUUCUUUGUUCAUUAAUUAAGUCAUUUAAUCAUUAUUUCUUUAAUUAGCAAGUUUUGCACCUUUUUCUAAUUUAAUCUUUUUUAAUUAAUUAACUAUCGAAACGUUAAAAUUUUCUAACGAAAUAUUUAUAAAAAUAUUUACAGCUCAGUUUAUAAAAUCGAGAUCUUGAUACCUCGUUUUCAAAACUAGUUAAUCUAACAAAUAUUUCUAAAGCAUAAAUCACUAAUUCAUAAGCCUUCUUAAAUUCAGAAUCGAAUCAAAAACACUAUAUAAUAAAAUUUAUGAAUUAAUUUAUCGGAUUUAGUGUUCUCAAACUACUAUUUUCGAAACUACUGAAAAUUGGACUGUUACAAAAACUCUAUAAAAAUACGGAAAGGAGAAAUUUUGAGGUUUCAUAAUCUGUUUGCAUAAAUCAAUGAGCAAAUUCAGAAUUUAUUUCCAAUUAUUCCCUCUCAACAAAAGGAAUGGUGAAUGUCUAGUUGACUUCAAGCCCAAUAAAUAUGGGUGAAAUGGGUCGAGCUUACAACGAAGCUAGGAACAUCUUUGAUGCGAAUAUGGCAAUUUAUGAGGAGGAGAAUAACCCAAUAAAAUAAAGUGAUGGGCUAAAAAGACCUUUUUUUAAGUCUACUUCAGGAGUUUCUAAUAAGGAAGAUUUGAAUGAAGUUUCGGGUACUCUAUUACAGGUACCAAAUUCUAGUAGAUCGCCAGGCCCUGCUAAGUGGGCUAGUCGGAUGCAAUGAAGCUGUUGAGUUGGAACAUUCAGGUAAAGGGGAGGUCUUGGACAGUUUGUUGUCUCCAGCAUAUGCUGAGAGAUAUAAAUCUCUCUAUAGUGUUCCUAAUUGAGAUGAAACUAUAGGGUUUUAAUAUGGAAGGAACAAGACGCAAAUGUGGAUUUCUUAAUGGGAUGGAUGUUGAUUCAUAUGGUAGAAGUGAGGGUUUAUCAAUGGGUUGGAGUAGCGAUUAUAAGAUUUGUCUUCGGUCUUUUUCGAGAAGGGACAUUGGCAUUAUGAUUGAUAAGGAUACUGAUGGUAAAACUUGGUGAUGUACGGGGUUUUAUGAAGUGCCCGAGGAGAAUCUGAGGAGGCAUCGUAAAAUUUAUUGCAUUCUUUAGAUGACUGCCCACAUAUCCCUAUGUUUGUAAUAGGGGAUUUUAAUGAAAUAGCUUAUUCAUCUGAAAAGAAAGGUGGAUUACUUCAGAGGGAGAGACAAAUGAGAAGAUUUUGGGAAGCUCUUUAUGAUUGCUCUCUUACAGAUUUGGGCUAUAGAGGACAAUGGUUUACCUGGGAAAAAGGUCGUACUCGAGCAAACAAUAUUAGGAAACGUUUGGAUCAAAGGGUAGCUAAUGCAGUUUGAUGGGAUUUAUUUCAAAAUUACAAAAUGCAUCAUCUCACGCAUUCUUUUUUAUUGCAAUCAGAUUUUGAAAAUAAUCAUGCGAAAUGGUGUCACUUCAAGUUCGAGGUUGCGUGGCUUUUGGAAGAAACGUGUGAGUCAAAUGUUCUAAAAUUAUAGACUGAAAAUUUGGGUGAUGUCCUUAAUAGAUUGAAGGUGUUUGGUGUGGGCCUUAAAGCGUGGUUCAAAAGGAUUAAAAAGAUAGGGGUUUGUCGAAAAAAGAUCUUAAGAAGCAAUUCAUUAAGUUGAACAAAUCAUACCUAACUGAUGAGGUGUUGGGUGAUAUUGUUGAGAUAAAACUAGCCCUUAAUAUGGAGGCCGGUAGGGAGGAACUCUACUGGGAACAAAGAGCCAGAGCUAAUUGGAUGAAAAAUGGUGACCGAAACACAAAAAUUGCAACAAAAAGAAGACGAAGGAAUAUGAUGGAUAAACUACUAGAUUUUGAUGAAAAUUAUUAUAAGAGCAAUGAGGAGCAGUUGUCACUUGCCACUGACUACUUUGCCUCUCUAUUCACUUCAACUAGAAUCGAAAAUCCAGGUUCUAUAUUAGAAGGGGUUGAGCCGUGCAUUACUCGAGCAAUGAACGAGGAACUUGCAAAGGAUUUUUCUUACGAGGAUAUUUGUAUGGCGUUAAAAUCAUGAAUACAUUAAAGACUUCUGGUGAGGAUGACUUGGGUGCAAUUUUUUAUCAAUGGUUUUGGCAUAUUAUGGGUAAAGAGGUAGCAAAUUAUUGUAUUGAGAUUUUAAAUGGAGGCACAAUAUCGCUGAAAUCAACCAGACACAAAUUGUUUUAAUCCCUAAGGUUAGCUGUCCAUGAAUUAUGGCUCUAUUUAAACCGAUUAGCCGUUAUAAUACCCUUUACAAAAUUAUUGCAAAAAUGCUAGUGAAUAGGUUUUAAAAAGUCUUUCACUAUUGUAUAGAUGAGGUACAAAGUGCAUUUGUACCAGGGAGGCUUAUCACUGAUAAUAUUUUAGUUGUCUAUGACGUUUUACACUCCAUGAAAAAGAAAAAGAAAAAGAUAAGAGAUGAAGGGUCUUUUGCUUUGAAGCUUAACAUGAGUAAAACGUAUAAUAGACUAAAGUGUGCGCUCAUUAAUGUCAUGCUUAGCCGAAUGAGUUUCUCGAAGUUGUGGGUUCAGAAAAUUAUGAGAUGUAUUGAAAUGAUUUCUUAUUCUGUGGUUAUGAGCGGAGAGGUGGGUAAUUUGUUUCUUCCUUAUCGGGGGCUUAAACAAGGGGGCCCACUUAAUCCUUAUUUAUUUCUUAUUUGGGGAAGGUCUGUCAUCUUUUCUUAGAAUGGCUGCUACAAGUGGGGAUCUCAAGGGUGCUUGCAUUAAGAGACACGCUCCAGUUAGCACCCACUUGUUAUCUUUGCAAAUGACAGUCUUAUCUUUGGAAAGGCCACAACAGAUGGGGCUAUGGUGCUUAAUGAAAGACUGGAGAUUUAUGCCAAUAGUUUGGGUCAAUUAAUAAUUUUUGAUAAGUCUGGUAUGUUUUUAGUUCCAAUGUUGAGUAGAAUAGCAAAAAAGAGGUUUAUCGAAUUUUAGGGGUUAAUCCAAACAUUAAUCCAGAAAAGUAUAUUGGUCUCCUUUAAAUCGUGGGGCAAAACAAAAAGAGGGCUUUUAGGGAGAUAAAAGAAAAUCUAAUUAAAAGAGUGUUUAGUUAGAGUUCGAGAAUGCUUUCGGUGGGUAUAAAAGAGGCCCUUAUCAAAAUAGUAUUUCAGGGAGUUCCCAUGUAUACCAUUUCUUAUUUCUUGAUGCCCAAUUCCUUUUGUAAGGAACUUGAAACUGUUAUUGCUAGAUUUUGGUGACAGAAGAAAGCUGGGAGGAAUGGUUUACAUUGGAGUUCUUGGAAACCAUUGUGUAUUCCAAAAGAGGAUAAAGGUAUGGGUUUCCGUAAUCUUUCUAAAUUUAAUAUUUCUUUAUUAGCAAAACAAUGUUAGAGAUUGAUGGAAAAUCCAGGCUCGUUAACAAGAUUAAUUCGAGAAAAAUAUUAUCACGGUUUAAAUUUUCUAGAAGCCCCAUUGGGCUCAUACCCGUCCCUAAUUUGGAAAAGUAUAUGGUGUUCCAAAGCUUUGUUAAAAUCUGGUAUUGGAUGAAGGAUUGGUUCUGGGCUAUCUAUCUUGAUAUGGCAAGACUAUUGGUUACCGAGGAAGAAUAGAGCACUAAUUACUACAAACAAGGUAGCAAGAUUGGAAUGUGUAAGUGAUUUGAUUCUCCCAAACCCAAAUAGAAGAGAUCGACAAUUAAUCUACUCAACUUUCACGGAGGAAGAAGGAAAUUUGAUUGUAAGAAUCCCUAUACCUAUCACUAAUCAAUCUGAUAAAGUAAUAUGGUCUAGAGAAAAAUCAGGUUUUUAUUCAGUAAAAAGCAGUCACAAAGCCUUCAUCGAACUUCUCAUUUGAGUACUAUUGAGCAAUAUAAUUUUAAGCAAAUUUGGAGUUUAACGUGCCUAUCAAAAAUUCACAUUUUAAUGUGAAAAUUUGCAAAUAUAUAUAUUCCUACUUUCCAGAAUUUGCAUUAUAGAAGAAUUUUGUCAGAGAAUAGUUACCCGCGCUGUCAGGAUUGUAGUAAAUCACAUGUUCAUGUUGCUCGAUACUGUGCAUUCACUAUGCAUGUUUGAUCAAAAUUAAAUUAUCAGUGGCCAAGUUCAAUGCGUCUAUGAGUUUUAACAACUGGUUAAACUGGCUAUUCAUAAAUUCAUCCAGUAACAGUAAAGGGGAAAUAGCCAUUACAAUUUGGGCAAUCUGAUUUUCCCGCAACAAACUGAUACAUGAAAGAAAAGUACAAAGUGUGGAGGAAGUUGUUACCUUUAUCAGGGGUUAUGGCAGGGAGUACAAGAGGCGUUUUGGAAUAUUACAACACCCCUGACCCAGAUAGUUGAUAAAAUGGGAGCCCCCCCUACGAAUUGGGUCAAAGUGAAUGUUGACGUCGGUUUCUCAGAGGCAAAACAACAUGCAACAUUGGGUUUCUUAAUUAGAAAUGAUGAAGGUCUUAAAAUAGGGUCGGGAAUCAGAACUCAUAACCUAGUUAGAUCGGUGGUGUUGGCUAAAGCGAUGGCUGCUCUUCACGGGCUCUAGUUUGCGUUGGAGAUGGGUUUCACGAAAAUUAUUUUGGAAAGUGACUCUAAAACAAUUAUUAAAAACCUCCAAGCAACAAAGGAAGACUAUUCAGAGAUAAGACCGAUUACUUGGGAUGUGAAGGCUCUUACAAUGAAAUUUUCUUCAUGUCAUUUUGAGUUCGUUGCGGGAGAAGGUAACGCAGUGGCGCAUGCGAUGGCGGUCGAAGGGAUGAGAAGAUCAGAAGACUCGUUCUGGGUUGAAGAUGCCCUAUUAAAAGCGAUGGAAAUGGCAGAUUUGGAUCGUCUUUUCAUCUGGCCACCAUAAUUUCCCUCCUCUGCUGCUCGCUGCUCUGGGUUGAGAACUUCUGAUAUUCUAAAGGUAUAUCUCAACUCCCUUCCAUUGUUUGCUAGUUCUGAUUACCAGAUCUCGCAAGGUUUUGGCUGUUUGGGUUUUCUGGUCACUGAAGGGUUUGGAAGAAGCUUCUAGAGUUGCAUCAUGUUUUAUUUUCUUUAUUUUAUCUGUUUGAACUUCAUUUUCUAUCUGCUUUUGUUUUGGACUUCCAAGCCCAUUUUAAUCAAAAUGAACCGUUUAUUCAAAAAAAAAAAUAACUUUUUGACAAAAAAAAUACUUUUAAGCAAAAGCUAAAAAUUUUUAGUUUUGCUUUUGAUAAAAAAAAUAAUUUUGUAAAAUAUUUUUUUAUCUCAAAAAUAUUUUUAAAAAGCUCAAAAGUAUAUUGUUUAGUAAUAUUUUCAAAUCAAAAGUAUUUUUUGUCUCAAAAAUACUUUUGAAAAGUAAUACUAAUCAGACUCAAAAGUAAUUACGAUUUUUUUGUGUCCUUAGACACCGAUAGACACUCAAUUUGAUUGUUGGAACUGAAAAAAAAAGAAGUGUUACUUUCAUGUAUUUUCCAAUUAUUAUAUAUAAGGAGAUGGUAGUGAAACACUUUUUUUUCUCAAUUAAAAAAAAAAUUUAAGUGAGUAGUUUAUGGGAGAGUGAGUAGUUUUCUUUUUAGAUCUGACUUUUUUAAAGGUUGGAAUUAAUGAAUAUAAAAGUAAAAAGAUUGGUAAAUAUUGAUUAUUUACUGUUUUGUUCUACAUUUUCUUGAUUUAUAUUAACUUUUAAAGAGAUUUUAGUAACGUCAGUUAAGACCAUAAACUUAAUCAGAAAUAGUAAAAAACUUUAUGGCAGAAAAAAGUAAAAAAUAACUAAAAAAGAAAAAGGGAACUAAAAUAUGAUAACCUCUUAAUCCACUAAUGAAAUAAAAAUUUCACUAUUUAUAAUCUACUUCCCUUUUCCGGGCCAGUGUUUCAAACUAGAAACUUCUUUGGGUCAUCUUCAUAUUAGAUUGAAGCCCGAUUUUAGGUUUAUGUACCAAAACCAAAAAUUAGUUAUGUUUGGUAAAUGAAUUUGAAUACAUGCACCACCACUCUCAAUGCUCACCCACCUAAGCCCAUGACAUAAACUGCAUUUAAGUGAACCAGUGGCAGUUGGAGCCAUUAUGUUGGUUGAAAAAUAUUGUUGGCAGUGUUAUUCAGCAGUACUUGUUCUAAGGCUCCUACUACAUUUCUCAUUAUAAAUGUGGAGAAAUCUUGUUCUACUUUCCAUUCCAUGCAACACUAACUUUUAGAUUCCCUUUCCAUUGCACUGCUCUUUCUUUCUAUAGAAUUAGUCACUCCUGUUCUAGAUGAAGGUUCUCUCCCCAAUUCUUGCUUGCCUAGCGGUAAGUUUUUCGAUUUCAUGUGAUUAUUCGUUGUUGAAUGCAAAGAACUAUGAAGGGUUUUUUUUUACCUCAACUUUUCUUGUUUGUUAUUUGUUGUUACAGCUUGCUGUGGUGGUAAGCCAUGCUGCUCUCUCACCUGAGCAAUAUUGGAGCUAUAAGCUGCCAAAUACUCCAAUGCCAAAGGCUGUCAAAGAAAUUCUACAUCCAGGUGAGUGUUUAAUAUCCCAAGAAUUCUUUUUUUUUUUUUUGAAUCAUGUUUACUCACCGACAAAACAGGACUACUGUGAUAUAAGCCCUCAACUUGAGAUGGUCAGGAAAGUGAGGACUGUAGAAUAUCAGACCCUGGUUUCCCAUAGAAUUGAAUUGAGCCUAAUGCAGCAAACAAUCAUGUAAUCGUGGAAGCCGGGUAAUAAUCAGAAAUGAGGUGCUUAACAUAGUUCUGUUCCUGCAAUUUAUUAAAAGAGAAAGAGCCAGGAUACUUUCUGUUUAGCAAUAUAUUUCAGAAAACAUAGGAAUAGGAUGUGUUCUGCACAUAUUGACUUAUUAUGAAAAAAAUUGUUGGAAUCAUGCAUUCAUCAGCAUGUAUAUGAGCUCUCUAGCCCAUUUUGGUGUAUUUGCAGAACUGAUGGAGGAGAAAAGCACCUCUGUAAAUGUAGGAGGUGGUGGUGUAAACGUCAAUACAGGAAAAGGGAAGCCUGGGGGUGACACCCAUGUGAACGUUGGAGGCAAAGGAGUUGGAGUGAACACGGGAAAGCCAGGGGGUGGCACUCAUGUGAAUGUUGGAGACCCUUUUAAUUACCUAUAUGCAGCCAGUGAAACUCAAAUCCAUGAAGACCCGAAUGUGGCUCUUUUCUUUCUGGAAAAGGAUAUGCACCCCGGGGCAACAAUGAGCCUGCAUUUCACUGAAAAUACAGAGAAAUCAGCUUUCUUACCUUAUCAAACUGCCCAAAAAAUACCGUUUUCAUCUGACAAGUUGCCAGAAAUUUUCAACAAGUUUUCAGUGAAACCUGGAUCACUGAAGGCAGAGAUGAUGAAGAACACAAUUAAGGAGUGCGAACAGCCAGCGAUUGAAGGAGAGGAAAAAUAUUGUGCAACCUCACUGGAGUCAAUGAUUGACUAUAGCAUUUCCAAACUAGGGAAAGUUGAUCAGGCAGUCUCAACAGAAGUGGAAAAACAAACCCCAAUGCAAAAGUAUACAAUAGCAGCUGGAGUGCAGAAGAUGACAGAUGACAAAGCUGUAGUGUGCCACAAGCAGAAUUAUGCAUAUGCUGUCUUCUAUUGCCAUAAAUCAGAAACAACAAGGGCUUACAUGGUUCCUUUAGAGGGUGCUGACGGAACAAAAGCCAAAGCAGUAGCAGUCUGCCACACAGAUACAUCAGCAUGGAACCCUAAGCAUUUGGCUUUUCAAGUCCUAAAAGUUGAACCAGGAACCGUUCCUGUCUGCCAUUUCCUUCCUCGGGAUCACAUUGUUUGGGUCCCUAAGUAAAAAUCCUGAAGAGUAGAUUCAUACACUAUAAGUUUCAUCAUAGUGUGCAUUAAAACAGCUUAAAGCAAUAUCCAGUUUGUUCUAUAAUAAUAUACCCACGAGUUUAGUUAUGUGAAAUCUAUCCAUGAAUCAUGUUCUUGGUAAUGGAUAAAAUGAUAUUACUUUCUGUAUCACAAUGGUUUGGUGAUAAAUGUAUUAGUAUUUGAAGUAUCGUUGCAGACAUCGUAUGCCAAGUAACUUUGCGGACAUUAUGUUUCUCCAUUAGAUUACUAAUUCUCUUUCAUCUCAGAUUAGCCAUCUCCACAGAAAAAUUCUCAGAAGGUAAACUAUCAUGUUCAUCACUGGGUUGCAAUCAGAGAAGAAAUUGUUUUUCCUAUGUCCCAACAGCAGUAAAUUUUUGGACCAAUUUACAUGGUACAUAUGAGAAUUUUCUAUGUCAUGUAUUCGAAGGAUGCUAACUUAAUAUAGUAAGACCGGCAUUAAAAUCUUUUCAGAUAUAAGUAGGUUCCAAAGUACACAAAUUUGAGCACCUGUACUGAACAAACCAUUGUGUGCACUGUGCAGCCCUUCGCAUCUGAUUCCUCCACCACUGUGAUUAGCAGCUGCAGCGUCCUCACUGGCUAACCUAGGCCCUUGACAGACUUAUUCACCAGUGUUAAGUGUGCAGUUAAAUUUGAGAAAUAAUAUUUUAUUAAUUUAUGUUUCUUUGUCUUAAUUAAACUCUUAUUAGUCUUAUUAUUAUUUGACUUAUAAAUAGACUAUUUUACAACAUUAAAAAAUACACCAACUUUUAGAGAAUUUUGUGUUUAGCUUUUGGGGAUUUUUUUCGAGUUUUUUCAUCUUUUAUAUUCCUCAUUGUUUUGUCAUUAUAGUAUAAUUAUCUUUGCCAUUAUUUUUUAACUUCUUUGAAGAGUUUUUUCACGUUAAAUUUGCGUGUUCAAUUUAUUAAUUUUUUUAGCUAUUUUUAUGAUAAGUUAAAUAAUUAUACAUGAUGUUAGCUCCACGGAUCAUUUUAUUCCUGCAAUGUGGGAUCUAAUCUAAAUAUUUUGAUUUUUUUUAAAACAUCAACAGAGCUGAAUACUGCAUAACCACACACACAAAAAUCUACUACCAGCUACAACUUCUUAAAAUUAUAGUGAGUCAUUCGAUGUCAUCUUCGGAUAAACAACAUUCGAAUUGUGGAUAGCUUUCAAUAAGAAGUUCUCAAUUUUUUUCAUCUCAUCUUACUUGCAAAUAAGCACUUCUUUACAUUAAAAUAUUUGAAAGUGAAAAGAGAGAGAGAGAGUAAAAACUGCAUCAAAAACAACAAACAGUAAAACAAUUGGAGCCAAUGCUGUUACCGUAUGCUAGCCAUGAUAAAAAUCUCACUGAUAAUAGGUUUCAAUAAUCUCCCUUUCCUCAACCUUUACAAAGAUAAAAAAGACACCAUCGACUACUAUAAGCAGGGGCAAAACUGGCGCGGUUGCCCCUAAAAUGAAAAUUACUCUUUUAAAUUUUUAAAAUUUUAAAUUGAUAAAAGUAAAAUUACACUUUAACCCUUUAAAAUAAUAAAAUUUUGAUUUAAUCUUUUAAAAAUUAUAAAAAUAAACACUAUUAAAGUAGUGAAACUAUAAUUUCACUAUUCUAAAAUUCACAAUUUAAUUUCGACACCUCAACAAAUUUUUUGUCUUCAGAAUAUAACAUAACAACUAUGCAGUGUUGUAAUUUCUAUAGUACAACAACGGAAAACGAAAGCGAGCCAAAGUUGACUGUAACAAAAAUGAUAGCAAAGACGGAAAACGAAAACGAGCCAAAGUUGCGACUGUAACAAAAAUGAUAGCAAAGACAGAACAGGGAGAAUGACUGCGAGGCUAGGAUGGUGAUACGCAGCACUGGAA